GGUUGAUCCUGCCAGUAGUCAUAUGCUUGUCUCAAAGAUUAAGCCAUGCAUGUCUAAGUAUAAGCUUUUAUACGGCGAGACUGCGGAUGGCUCAUUAAAUCAGUUAUAGUUUAUUUGAUGGUUCCUUUUUUUACUACUUGGAUAACCGUAGUAAUUCUAGAGCUAAUACAUGCGCAAAGUCUCGACUGGGGGGCAACCUCUGGAAGGGAUGUAUUUAUUAGAUAAAAAACCGAUGCAGGGGGGCUUGCUCCUCUGGACCCACCGGUGAUUCAUAAUAACUUUUCGAAUCGCA
rnacentral:rRNA from 1 species